rnacentral:rRNA from 1 species
GACGAACGCUGGCGGCGUGCUUAACACAUGCAAGUCGAACGGAAAGGCCCUGCUUUUGUGGGGUGCUCGAGUGGCGAACGGGUGAGUAACACGUGAGUAACCUGCCCUUGACUUUGGGAUAACUUCAGGAAACUGGGGCUAAUACCGGAUAGGAGCUCCUGCUGCAUGGUGGGGGUUGGAAAGUUUCGGCGGUUGGGGAUGGACUCGCGGCUUAUCAGCUUGUUGGUGGGGUAGUGGCUUACCAAGGCUUUGACGGGUAGCCGGCCUGAGAGGGUGACCGGCCACAUUGGGACUGAGAUACGGCCCAGGCUCCUACGGGAGGCAGCAGUGGGGAAUAUUGCACAAUGGGCGGAAGCCUGAUGCAGCAACGCCGCGUGCGGGAUGACGGCCUUCGGGUUGUAAACCGCUUUCGCCUGUGACGAAGCGUGAGUGACGGUAAUGGGUAAAGAAGCACCGGCUAACUACGUGCCAGCAGCCGCGGUGAUACGUAGGGUGCGAGCGUUGUCCGGAUUUAUUGGGCGUAAAGGGCUCGUAGGUGGUUGAUCGCGUCGGAAGUGUAAUCUUGGGGCUUAACCCUGAGCGUGCUUUCGAUACGGGUUGACUUGAGGAAGGUAGGGGAGAAUGGAAUUCCUGGUGGAGCGGUGGAAUGCGCAAAUAUCAGGAGGAACACCAGUGGCGAAGGCGGUUCUCUGGGCCUUUCCUGACGCUGAGGAGCGAAAGCGUGGGGAGCGAACAGGCUUAGAUACCCUGGUAGUCCACGCUGUAAACGGUGGGUACUAGGUGUGGGGUCCAUUCCACGGGUUCCGUGCCGUAGCUAACGCUUUAAGUACCCCGCCUGGGGAGUACGGCCGCAAGGCUAAAACUCAAAGGAAUUGACGGGGCCCCGCACAAGCGGCGGAGCAUGCGGAUUAAUUCGAUGCAACGCGUAGAACCUUACCUGGGUUUGACAUGGAUCGGGAGUGCUCAGAGAUGGGUGUGCCUCUUUUGGGGUCGGUUCACAGGUGGUGCAUGGCUGUCGUCAGCUCGUGUCGUGAGAUGUUGGGUUAAGUCCCGCAACGAGCGCAACCCUUGUUCACUGUUGCCAGCACGUUAUGGUGGGGACUCAGUGGAGACCGCCGGGGUCAACUCGGAGGAAGGUGGGGAUGACGUCAAGUCAUCAUGCCCCUUAUGUCCAGGGCUUCACGCAUGCUACAAUGGCUGGUACAGAGAGUGGCGAGCCUGUGAGGGUGAGCGAAUCUCGGAAAGCCGGUCUCAGUUCGGAUUGGGGUCUGCAACUCGACCUCAUGAAGUCGGAGUCGCUAGUAAUCGCAGAUCAGCAACGCUGCGGUGAAUACGUUCCCGGG